rnacentral:misc_RNA from 1 species
UUUAGGAUUGAUUUGGUGAUGUGGGUUUUUUUUUGGUUUUAUAUGAAUUUUAAAGUAGUUUUUUUUAAUUUUGUGAAGAAAGUUAUUGGUAGUUUGAUGGGGAUGGUAUUGAAUUUAUAAAUUAUUUUGGGUAGUAUGGUUAUUUUUACGAUAUUGAUUUUUUUUAUUUAUGAGUAUGGAAUGUUUUUUUAUUUGUUUGUAUUUU